AUAUCAAUAAGCGGAGGAAAAGAAACCAACCGGGAUUGCCUCAGUAACGGCGAGUGAAGCGGCAACAGCUCAAAUUUGAAAUCUGGCCCUGCCCGAAUUGUAAUUUGAAGAAGCGACUCUGGUACCGGUCCCUGUCUAUGUUCCUUGGAACAGGACGUCACAGAGGGUGAGAAUCCCGUGCGAUGGGGAGUGCGGCGCCGUGUAGAGCGUUUUCGACGAGUCGAGUUGUUUGGGAAUGCAGCUCUAAGUGGGUGGUAAAUUCCAUCUAAAGCUAAAUACGGGCGAGAGACCGAUAGCGAACAAGUACUGUGAAGGAAAGAUGAAAAGCACUUUGAAAAGAGAGUGAAAAAGUACGUGAAAUUGUUGAAAGGGAAGGGCUUGGGAUCAGACUUUGUAUUUCCAUGGCGUUCUCUCGGGAGCGUCCGCUGGGCUUACAGGGCCAGCAUGGGUUCUGCGGGCAAGACACGGCGGCAGGAACGUGGCUCCCCCUCGGGGGAGUGUUAUAGCCUGCCUCACCAGUUGCCACGCGGGACCGAGGACUGCGGAUCUAGGAUGCUGGCAUAAU
rnacentral:rRNA from 1 species